rnacentral:misc_RNA from 1 species
GUGAAAUCAAGGCAGCUCCUGCUCCAGAUACACCGGUCACAUUUGAUGGAAAUUCUGAGCCAAGUAGGUCCAAGAAACUUGGAAUCUACUUCAUCGAGUCUGAUAAUAGGCGAAUGGCUUUCGGACGUAGUAAUAUAGGAGGAACUACGCCGGUAAAUAUCCAUGGGAAACCUAUUGCCGAUCUCUCGAAAACAGGCGGU